rnacentral:rRNA from 1 species
UACAGAGACCUCAAGCGUUAUCCGGAAUCAUUGGGCGUAAAGCGUACCGAUAGGUGGUUUACAAAGUCAGAGGUGAAAUCUCAAGGCUCAACCUUGAGUCUGUCCUUUGAUACUUGUAAACUAGAGGGGCAAAGAGGAAGCUGGAACGAACGGUGUAGUAGUGAAAUGCGUUGAUAUCGUUCGGAACACCAAUAGCGUAGGCAAGCUUCUGGGUGCCACCUGACACUGCUAGGACGAAAGCGUGGGGAGCGAAUGGG